GACGAACCGUGCGAACGUUAUUCGGAAUCACUGGGCUUAAAGCGCGUGUAGGCGGGACGGCACGGCUGUCGCUGAAAUCCCCCGGCUUAACCGGGGAACUGGCGUAGAUACGACCGUCCUGGAGGGGCGUAGGGGGACCUGGAACUUCCGGUGGAGCGGUGAAAUGCGUUGAGAUCGGAAGGAACGCCCGUGGCGAAAGCGAGGUCCUGGACGCCUACUGACGCUGAGACGCGAAAGCCAGGGGAGCGAACGGG
rnacentral:rRNA from 1 species